UUCCAUUGCAUUCUUUGCAUUUGUCUCAGAAAGGCUCGACUUAAAAUGUGCAUACAUAUUUGUGAUCUAUAUUGAGUAUCUAUCUAUUCGUUCCACACUCUUCACCUGGUCUGCUCUUAUGAACCUGUGUUAUCUACUGCUCUGCCCUAACCCAUCCUCCAAGGUAACAACCUGUGUUCUCUGCUGCUCUGCCCUAACCCAUCCUCCAAGGUAACAACCUGUGUUCUCUACUGCUCUGCCCUAACCCAUCCUCCAAGGUAACAACCUGUGUUCUCUACUGCUCUGCCCUAACCCAUCCUCCAAGGUAACAACCUGUGUUCUCUACUGCUGUGCCCUAAACCAUCCUCCAAGGUAACAAUGAGGGUGUCAAGAUACAUGUCAAUCAUCUCAAUGAGGAGGGGCUCCAACGGAGACGAGCCAAUAGGAGACAUGAGGCCAUGAGAGCACAUUGGAUUGGUCGUCAAACUUGCAUGGUUCUGUACUCCACUCCCCCAUUAUCUUCUUCAACUCUGCCUGAUCCCACAGUUCCUCUCCUCCUUCCUCCUCCUCCUCUUCACUGGACUCCUGCAUAUAAAACAGGGCCUGUUCGUACUCUUGUCGUACAACGGUGGCCUUAGAGUGCACUUUGAGUCACAGACCUAGGUUGAGAGGAAACACCACCGAUACUCAAUGCCAUUUUCUUGAUCACACAGGCCUUCAAUUGACUGAUUUGAUAUUUGAGAGUCUCAUAGCACUUCUUCAAUAUUGUGAACAGUAUUAGGUCAUUAGGUCUCAUCUGCCUCACCCUCAGCAUUCUUUCACCUGCUGUCUGAACCUCAACAUCGACUACAGGUUACACCCUCUGCACGUCAAGCUGAGAGAUGGAUGGAGGAGGAGAAAGGAUGGAUGGGGAAGAAGAGAAGGGUGUGAUGCUGUUGGAGAAGAAAGGGAUGGAGAGAAGGAUAAGAGAGAAGGAGGGAUAGACGCCUUUUGCCCAUCUGUGAUAA
rnacentral:lncRNA from 13 species